rnacentral:lncRNA from 1 species
GCCUUCAAUGAUACUGCCAAAUACUUCUCUGAGAAAGAAUGGGAAAAGAUGAAAGCCUCAGAGAAAAUCAUCCAUGUGUAUAUGAAGAGAAAGUAUGAGGCCAUGACUAAACAGGGUUUCACGGCUACCAUCCCAACUUUCAUGGAUGACAAAGGGGCCGCAGACUGCCAGGGGAAUGAUUUUGAUAAUGACCAUAACUGCGGGAAUCAGGUUGAACGUCCUCAGAUGACUUUCAGCAGGCUCCA